UAGUUUUAUUUUGUAUGGGAACUCUCAUAGAACAGGGAAGGACAAUUGGUUGGAAAGACUGUUCUAUAGCUGCCAGAGACUGGAUAAGCGUGACCAGUCAACAAUUCCACGCAAUCUCCUGAAGACAGAUGCUAUCCUUUGGCAGUGGGCCAUAUGGGAAGCUGCACAAUUCACUGUUCUUUCUAAGCUGAGAACCCCACUGGGCAGAGCUCAAGACACCUUCCAGACAAUUGAAGGUAUCAUUCGAAGUCUCGCAGGUCACACAUUAAACCCUGAUCAGGAUGUUAGUCAGUGGACAACUGCAGACAGUGAUGAAGGCCAUGGUAACAACCAACUUAGACUUGUUCUUCUUCUGCAGUAUCUGGAAAAUCUGGAGAAAUUAAUGUAUAAUGCAUACGAGGGAUGUGCUAAUGCCUUAACUUCACCUCCCAAGGUCAUUAGAACUUUUUUGUAUACCAAUCGCCAAACUUGUCAGGACUGGCUAACGCGGAUUCGACUCUCCAUCAUGAGGGUAGGAUUGUUGGCAGGCCAGCCUGCAGUGACAGUGAGACAUGGCUUUGACUUGCUUACAGAGAUGAAAACAACCAGCCUAUCUCAGGGGAAUGAAUUGGAAGUAAGCAUUAUGAUGGUGGUAGAAGCACUAUGUGAACUUCAUUGUCCUGAAGCUAUACAGGGAAUUGCUGUCUGGUCAUCAUCUAUUGUUGGAAAACAUCUUCUGUGGAUUAACUCAGUGGCUCAACAGGCUGAAGGGAGGUUUGAAAAGGCCUCUGUGGAGUACCAGGAACACCUGUGUGCCAUGACAGGUGUUGAUUGCUGCAUCUCCAGCUUUGACAAAUCGGUGCUCACCUUAGCCAGUGCUGGGUGUAAGAGUGCCAGCCUGAAACAUUGUCUGAAUGGUGAAUCCAGAAAAAGUGUGCUGUCCAAACCGACUGACUCUUCCCCUGAGGUUAUAAAUUAUUUAGGAAACA
rnacentral:lncRNA from 1 species